UGCCGCGUGAGUGAUGAAGGCCUUAGGGUUGUAAAGCUCUUUUGUCAGGGAAGAUGAUGACGGUACCUGAAGAAUAAGCACCGGCUAACUUCGUGCCAGCAGCCGCGGUAAUACGAAGGGUGCUAGCGUUGUUCGGAAUCACUGGGCGUAAAGCGCGCGUAGGCGGCGAUUCAAGUCAGGGGUGAAAUGCCAAGGCUUAACCUUGGAACUGCCUUUGAAACUGUAUCGCUGGAGUAUUGGAGGGGAUAGCGGAAUUCCUAAUGUAGCGGUGAAAUGCGUAGAUAUUAGGAGGAACACCGGUGGCGAAGGCGGCUAUCUGGACAAUUACUGACGCUGAGGCGCGAAAGCGUGGGGAUCAAACAGGAUUAGAUACCCUGGUAGUCCACGCUGUAAACGAUGGAUGCUAGCCGUCGGGGGGUUACCUUCCGGUGGCGCAGCUAACGCGUUAAGCAUCCCGCCUGGGGAGUACGGUCGCAAGAUUAAAACUCAAAGGAAUUGACGGGGACCCGCACAAGCGGUGGAACAUGUGGUUUAAUUCGAGGCAACGCGAAGAACCUUACCAGGCCUUGACAUGCCCUCUUUGGGGAUCAGAAAUGAACCCCUUCACCUCGGGUGGGAGGAGC
rnacentral:rRNA from 1 species